rnacentral:rRNA from 1 species
UCGAACGGUGAAGCCCAGCUUGCUCUGUGGAUCAGUGGCGAACGGGUGAGUAACACGUGAGCAAUCUGCCCCUGACUCUGGGAUAAGCGCUGGAAACGGCGUCUAAUACUGGAUACGAGCCGUGAAGGCAUCUUCAACGGUUGGAAAGAUUUUUCGGUCAGGGAUGAGCUCGCGGCCUAUCAGCUUGUUGGUGAGGUAAUGGCUCACCAAGGCGUCGACGGGUAGCCGGCCUGAGAGGGUGACCGGCCACACUGGGACUGAGACACGGCCCAGACUCCUACGGGAGGCAGCAGUGGGGAAUAUUGCACAAUGGGCGCAAGCCUGAUGCAGCAACGCCGCGUGAGGGAUGACGGCCUUCGGGUUGUAAACCUCUUUUAGCAGGGAAGAAGCGAAAGUGACGGUACCUGCAGAAAAAGCGCCGGCUAACUACGUGCCAG